rfam:Schistosoma mansoni strain Puerto Rico chromosome 7, complete genome
AUCCAUCUGACGAGUCUCAAAUGGGACGAAACACACAUUCUGGAU